ACAACCGAGUAAACAAUUAGCUGACAGAGAGAGAAGUACCAACUGCUGGCCUGGGCCGCUGCCGAGAUUUCCCAAGCAUCUCCCAGAAGGGCUCCGAGGACUGGAACUCAGACCAGCCAGAGAGCCGGAGUAGGUACGAGGCAGGCGGAGCCUGGGGUUCUGGACCCCGCUCGUAGAGAUACACAGCCAGAAAAAUCCACUAAAGAGUUUUGCAAAGAGGUGAAUGUGCUGGCGUAUAUUCUCUGUACAUUCCUCAGAGUCUGAAAAAAUCAGACAGAGGGUGGGGACCGGGUCUGCGCUUGACCAAGAAGUCAGCGAGCUCACAGCGCCUCCUACAAACCGAACAGAGGAAGCUGCCGCCAGCUGAUGCCGCCGGGAGGCCAGAGAGCGGUGAACUCUUCCGCCAUUGGUCGGCAGGGCAGCCAAUCACGAGGAAGGAACGGGAGGCGGGGAUGCUCGGAUCCCCGCUCGGAUUCACUGCCGGAUCCCGUCUCCAGGUCAGCGGCUGAAACGAAGCGGUCACGCACUUAAAGGCUCAUGGAAGGAUGGAUAAUGAAAGAACCUCUCAAUUUCUACAGACUUCGAAAAUGGAAAUAUAACAGAGAUACGGAGAAGUCCACAAAUCACAAGGUUUUUCCCCAGGGCAAGCAUACCGUCAUGAUCUUGCAAAGGGAAGGAUCAUUUCAAAAUCCAUACGAGAGUGGAAGUGUUAGGAUUGCUCCUUCUUUCCGUGUCUCUGGAAUAUCGCCUUUAGACUCCAAACCACCCAGGCAUGAGAUUCCUGAAGGCAGAGACAGAAUCUGUUCCCCUGCAAACCGCACGAGGGACCCCAGGCCAGAAUCAUCCAGCUGAACUCCCGAACUCCUGACCCACAGAAACUGUGUGAGAUAAAAUAAUAUUUACUGUU